GCACAAGCGGUGGAGCAUGUGGUUUAAUUCGAAGCAACGCGCAGAACCUUACCAGCCCUUGACAUCCCGGUCGCGGGAUCCAGAGAUGGAUCCCUUCAGUUCGGCUGGACCGGUGACAGGUGCUGCAUGACUGUCGUCAGCUCGUGUCGUGAGAUGUUGGGUUAAGUCCCGCAACGAGCGCAACCCUCGCCCUUAGUUGCCAGCAUUCAGUUGGGCACUCUAAGGGGACUGCCGGUGAUAAGCCGAGAGGAAGGUGGGGAUGACGUCAAGUCCUCAUGGCCAUUACGGGCUGGGCUACACACGUGCUACAAUGGUGGUGACGGUGGGCAGCGAGACCGCGAGGUCGAGCUAAUCUCCAAAAGCCAUCUCAGUUCGGAUUGCACUCUGCAACUCGGGUGCAUGAAGUUGGAAUCGCUAGUAAUCGUGGAUCAGCAUGCCACGGUGAAUACGUUCCCGGGC
rnacentral:rRNA from 1 species